rnacentral:rRNA from 1 species
UACAGGGGGUGCAAACGUUGCUCGGAAUCAUUGGGCGUAAAGCGCACGUAGGCGGUCUGUUAUGUCGGAUGUGAAAGCCCUUGGCUUAACUGAGGAAGUGCAUCCGAAACUGGCAGGCUAGAGUACUAAAGAGGGUCGCGGAAUUCCCGGUGUAGAGGUGAAAUUCGUAGAUAUCGGGAGGAACACCGGUAGCGAAGGCGGCGACCUGGGUAGAUACUGACGCUGAGGUGCGAAAGCGUGGGGAGCAAACAGG